UACGUAGGGGGCAAGCGUUAUCCGGAUUUACUGGGUGUAAAGGGAGCGUAGGCGGCACGGCAAGCCGGCGGUCAAAUCGCGGGGCUCAACCCCGCCCAGCCGUCGGAACUGCCGGGCUAGAGUGGGCGAGAAGUGCGCGGAAUGCGUGGUGUAGCGGUGAAAUGCAUAGAUAUCACGCAGAACUCCGAUUGCGAAGGCAGCGCACCGGCGCCCUACUGACGCUCAGGCACGAAAGCGUGGGUAUCGAACAGG
rnacentral:rRNA from 1 species